GAGCAGGUUUUAGCAGCUAGUGUUAGCGACAUAGCUACCAUUUGAAGAUGUGUGUGUUUUUCUCUGUUAGCCGUGUGCUGUGUCUACUGGCGCUGACCAUGGCCAUCCUCUCCUCUACAUUGGAAGUGCGUUCCCAGGGAAUGAGGCCUCUAAAUUGCUGUUUGAAGACAUCCAAAAAACGUCCAGCAGAACCAAUCACACAGUGUCUUAUUCAGAUACCUCGUGGGAAAUGUAACCUCAAAGCAUACAUUUUCACCAGUGGGGAGCAGUGGAAGUGCAUCAACCCCAAAGCCAGAUGGCUCCCUGCUGAGCUAGCAUCACUGGAACAGAGAGGAAUACAGUGUGACCCACUGAUUAAAUAACCAUCAGACCAUGAUCCUAGAUCAUCAUCAUCGCCAGCAGCAGGUUCAGCAGCCUCUCUCAACCAGGAACUACAGAACUAAGAUCUCUCUCAACCAGGAGCUACAGAACUAAGAUAAUAAGAAGACAGUGAAAAUGAAGAUUAUGAUUUGUGUGAUUUAAGUAUUUCAAGCUCUCUUUAUCAGAUUAUUUAUGUAUUUAUUUAUUUAUUUCAACCUCAUCCCGGCAUUAAUUUAUUGUACUCAAUUCAUUAAGGUGUUUUAAAGGCAUUUGUAUUUAUUUAUUUCCUCUGUCCUUUUUUUAAUGCUGUGAUAAUAACAUAACUUUGUUUGUAUAAAGUCUUUCAUUCUCAAAGUGCUUUACAAUGAUACAAAAUAGAGAACGGGAGACCUAUCUGAGUAUCUCCAUAGUAACUAGACCCUGUAAUGGCUGCAUAAAGGUUAAAGGUUGUGACACUCAAUCGUGUCACUGGGCUGUGGUCAUGGUGAUAACACUGCCCAUCAGUUCUACUGACAAAGCCAUUCCCUCAGUCCCUGAUCCUAUCCUCUUCCACUAGCCGCUACUCCUUGUCCUUAACUCCUACUGCUAGCUACCCCCUAAACUCACAGAUGCAGCUGUUUCAGUGAACCUGUAUUUAUUUGGCCAACAGAUAAACAAAUAAAACACUAUUGACUGAAAUGGUCAUGAUCAUAGUAGCAUAUUGUUCCCAUGUCAGUCAGUCAGUCACAUGACCCAGUCUUCCUCUGGCCCCUCUCCUCUUCUCUCAGUGUGACUGUGACAUGGCUAACAUGGAAGGUACUGGAAUGAGUAAUAAAAGCAUGACAACCGGA